AUGGAUGACGAAAAUGCAACAUUGCUGACAGAGUUUGUUCUCACAGGACUUACAUAUCAAUCAGAGUGGAAAAUACCCCUGUUCCUGGCAUUCUUGGUAAUAUAUCUCAUCACCAUCAUGGCAAAUCUUGGUCUGAUUGCUGUCAUCUGGAAAGACUCACACCUUCACAUUCCAAUGUACUUAUUCCUUGGGAGUUUAGCCUUUGUGGAUGCUUGGUUAUCAUCCUCAGUGACCCCUAAGAUGCUGAUCAGCUUUUUAGCUAAGAGUAUGAUUAUUUCUGUCUCUGAAUGCAAGAUACAAUUUUUUUCCUUUGGAAUCAGUGGAACCACAGAAUGUUUUCUCUUGGCAACAAUGGCAUAUGAUCGCUAUGUAGCCAUAUGCAAACCUUUACUUUAUCCAGUCAUUAUGACCAAUGGACUGUGUAUCUGGCUAUUAGUCUUGUCAUUUAUAGGUGGCUUUCUUCAUGCCUUAAUUCAUGAAGGUAUUUUAUUCAGAUUAACCUUCUGUAAUUCCAACAUAAUACAUCACUUUUACUGUGACAUUAUCCCAUUGUUAAAGAUUUCCUGUACUGACCCUUCUAUUAAUUUUUUAAUGCUUUUUAUUUUGUCUGGUUCAAUACAGGUAUUCACUAUUUUGACUGUUCUUGUCUCUUAUACAUUUGUCCUCUUUACAAUCUUAAAAAAAAAAGUCUGCCAAAGACAUAAGGAAAGCCUUUUCCACCUGUGGAGCCCAUCUCUUAUCUGUUUCUUUAUACUAUGGCCCCCUUCUCUUCAUGUAUGUGCACCCUGCAUCUCCACAAGCAGAUGAUCAAGAUAUGGUGGAGUCUCUAUUUUACACUGUCAUAAUUCCUUUCUUAAAUCCCAUUAUCUACAGCCUGAGAAAUAAGCAAGUCAUAGAUUCACUGACAAAAACAUUAAAAGGAAAUGUUUAG
rnacentral:lncRNA from 1 species